GCCUCUGUAGCUCAGUUGGUUAGAGCUCUGAUCCGGAAUCGCAGGGCCGUAGGUUCAAUUCCUACCAGAGGAC